AUUUAUGUGAGACAGUUGACCUGUCCUCACCGGCUGUGUGUCAGAGCCGAAGUGCUGUGUUAAUACAGUUAUACUUGCUGGAUGUAAUGUCAGUGUUGUUUUUCAUCACAACCGCUGUAAGUUUCCUUCCUGCUCCCAGGCAUCAUGACACACACACACACACACACACACACACACACACACACAACACACACACACCCACACACACACACCACACACACACACACACACACCACACACACAAGUGGCGUGUGAUUGACAGCUUGCUUUGAUGAGUCACGCUUACCACAAUCUAUCAACUUUAACAGCGACAAGCUCCUUCCUCAGUAAGUUGUCUUUUUUUACCUGGUUCUUGUGACAAUUAGACACACCUCCAGACUGCCAAGAAAUGCAUUACCGUGAUGUGUAAAUAGUAACUGGGAAUAGGAUAGCAAUGUACACAAAUUCACAUUGCAGAGGUGCAGGAGAGAUGUCAAAACAGCAGGAUGCAUGAUGGUAAUUCUACAAGUUGAAGUCAUGCUUUCAGAAUUACCCUUUAGCACUGCUGUUUCCUGUCUGUCUGUCCUGUGAUGGCACACCAAAGAGCAAUCAAGCUGAAAACACCACACCCCAGAUCAUUAAUAAAAGAAAAGCUGAUAUAAAAGAUGGAACUUUUUCUCUUUAACUCGUAAUAAUGAAACUAUAUGUAGGUUAUCUACUAAUACCUGAUUUUGAAUUGUAUUGAAUUUAAUUGAAAUGCAUUACGUCUCUGGUGGCCUGUGUUUAUUAGAUGUGUCUGUUGCUGUCUUACGGUUUCCAUUUUCUGCUUUUAUUUUCUUAUUGUUGCAGUUUUAGAUGUAAUUGAAGGUCACCCCCUUUUCUUUGGCUCUAGGAAGCUAACACUAGCAUAUUUAGUGGUGUAGCAGUGCCUUUUGACCCACGAAUGGCAUGCUGGGAAUCUCAGUUUCCCAGUGGGACAAGAUGUAUUUGAGCAUCUUGGGAACAUAUUGUGAAACCUUUCUACGGAUACUAGGAAAUAAAGUUGUAGUCGUGAAUAAAAUCCUUUUUGUGACUUGAACCCAAAGCCAUUAAACCUUUAAGAAAUGCAAAUGGUAUUUGUCUUAAAUCUGGUUGGAGUUGGCAGCUCUUAAAAGUGAGUGACUGUCUAUGAAAGCUCAGAAGCAGUUAUAGGUGUCUGUGGCUGGUCUUAAAUUAGAUGUGACAAAAUAAAUAAAUAAUAGAAUUGUGUAAAACAUCAAGGGUUUAUCAUAAUCCAUACUUAGGUUAUGUUUGUUGGAAAGAGUUUUGCAGGUUAGUCAUAUGUGUGUCAAUCUAAUUUAUGGACAGUGUGGCAAUAAAAUAUGGUCUUCUUCUAUAUCCUUGGAGCUGUCUUGAUCAAUGACUAAAACUUACUGCAGCCUCAUUAAUA